rnacentral:sRNA from 1 species
AUUUUCUCUAAAAUUUCGUUGAAAUUGAAAUUAGAUUUGAUUGAAAUUUUGUCGAAAUGUUAUUGCUUUAAAAAUUAUCAAAUCAUUUAGAGGUUCUUGCUAUGUCAACCCAAACUGGAGGUCAACAUUUGCAGUCUACUACCAACAACCUUUCAUUGCAGUCCUAUUAUGUCCUAAACGACAUACAUGUCCGUUUGUUUUUCCUAAGUAUCAAAUUCGUGCUCUGCUUCCAUAGACCUUCCAUUUGAGUACCAUUUAGUCCCGCUUAGUCCCAAAUAACAUCACAUUUGUACUAUACUAUCAACGACCUUUUAUUUGUGUUUCUUAUUGUCGCAAUAUACAUGUUCCGUGAAGGACAGGAUAUGAUCCAGA